CGAUAACGAACGAGACCUUAACCUGCUAAAUAGCCCGCGUUACUUUGGUAGCGCGCCGGCUUCUUAGAGGGACUAUCGGUGUAAGCCGAUGGAAGUUUGAGGCAAUAACAGGUCUGUGAUGCCCUUAGAUGUUCUGGGCCGCACGCGCGUUACACUGACAGAGCCAGCGAGUUUUUCCUUCGCCGAAAGGCUUGGGUAAUCUUGUGAAACUCUGUCGUGCUGGGGAUAGGCCAUUGCAGUUAUUGGUCUUCAACGAGGAAUCCCUAGUAAGCGCAAGUCAUCAACUUGCGUUGAUUACGUCCCUGCCCUUUGUACACACCGCCCGUCGCUACUACCGAUUGAAUGGCU
rnacentral:rRNA from 1 species